UAAUCCAGCCAUAUCACCCUGCAGCGCAAGACUGGUUACUGUAGCUUAGCGUGGCUGAGCCUGGUCAGUACCUUGAUGGGAGACCACAUGGGAAAACUCGUUUGCUGUUGGAA
rnacentral:rRNA from 1 species